UACGAAGGGGGCUAGCGUUGUUCGGAUUUACUGGGCGUAAAGCGCGUGUAGGCGGGCUGGAAAGUUGGGGGUGAAAUCCCGAGGCUCAACCUCGGAACUGCCUCCAAAACUUCCAGCCUGGAGCAAGAUAGAGGCAAGUGGAAUUGCGAGUGUAGAGGUGAAAUUCGUAGAUAUUCGCAGGAACACCAGUGGCGAAGGCGACUUGCUGGAGUCUUGCUGACGCUGAGACGCGAAAGCGUGGGGAGCAAACAGG
rnacentral:rRNA from 1 species